CCGUGUCGGCAUAUCCUGAGCCCCCGUCCGUCCGGGCCCGAGGGUCGGUCGGGAAUCUGUUGAAGGGUGGACCUC
rnacentral:SRP_RNA from 16 species